rnacentral:rRNA from 1 species
UCUAGAGAUAGAGUGGAGGUUAUCCGGGAGUACAGGUGGUGGCAUGGUUGUCGUCAGCUCGUGUCGUGAGAUGUUGGGUUAAGUCCCGCAACGAGCGCAACCCUUGUCUUUAGUUACCAUCAUUCAGUUGGGGACUCUAGAGAGACUGCCGGUGAUAAACCGGAGGAAGGUGGGGAUGACGUCAAAUCAUCAUGCCCCUUAUGGCCUGGGCUACAAACGUAAUACAAUGGCGUAUACAAAGGGAUGCGAAAGGGCGACCUGGAGCAAAACUCACAAAGUACGUCUCAGUUCAGAUUGGAGUCUGCAACUCGACUCCAUGAAGGCGGAAUCGCUAGUAAUCGCGGAUCAGCAUGCCGCGGUGAAUACGUUCUCGGGGUUU